AACGAACGCUGGCGGCAGGCUUAACACAUGCAAGUCGAACGAGAUCUUCGGAUCUAGUGGCAGACGGGUGAGGAACACGUGGGAACAUCCCUUUCAGUUCGGAAUAACGUUGGGAAACUAACGCUAAUACCGGAUACGUCCUUCGGGAGAAAGAUUUAUCGCUGAAAGAUUGGCCCGCGUCUGAUUAGCUAGUUGGUGAGGUAACGGCUCACCAAGGCUACGAUCAGUAGCUGAUCUGAGAGGAUGAUCAGCCACAUUGGGACUGAGACACGGCCCAAACUCCUACGGGAGGCAGCAGUGGGGAAUCUUGGACAAUGGGCGCAAGCCUGAUCCAGCCAUGCCGCGUGAGUGAAGAAGGUCUUCGGAUUGUAAAGCUCUUUUGCCAGGGACGAUAAUGACGGUACCUGGAGAAUAAGCCCCGGCAAACUUCGUGCCAGCAGCCGCCGUAA
rnacentral:rRNA from 1 species